CACCCAACAGCUAGCCCACCCACCCCACCAACAAAUCAACAUAACUACCACCACCAAAACCCAAUACUAAACCCAACUAAACCAUUAUUCCCCCCCAGUACGGGCGACGGAAAAGGGACUAGGAGCCACAAAAAAGUACCGCAAGGGAACGCUGAAAAAGAAACUGAAACAACCCAGUAAAGCAUAAAGAAGCAGAGCUUAAACCUUGUACCUUUUGCAUCAUGGCCUAGCCAGAAACACCUAAGCAAAAGGAAUUUUAGUUUAAAACCCCGAAACUAGGUGAGCUACUCCAAGACAGCCUAUUGUUAGGGCACACCCAUCUCUGUGGCAAAAGAGUGGGAAGAGCUUUGAGUAGAGGUGACAAGCCUACCGAACCUAGUCAUAGCUGGUUGCUUAAGAAUUGAAUAAAAGUUCAGCCCUUCACCUUUUUAAACCUAACCUGAGCACAUCUCCCCCAGGCCACAAGAAAACUGAAGGAGUUAGUCAAGGGGGGUACAGCCCCCUUGAUAAAAGACACAACUUUAACCAGCAGGUGAAAGAUUAAAAGACACCCAAGGCAACCUAUUCAAGUGGGCUUAAAAGCAGCCACCUCCCCAGAAAGCGUUAAAGCUCAAAUACCUGUCUCCCCAUAUCCCUACAACCACAUCUUAAACCUCUAAACCUAUUAAGCCUCUCUAUGCAAACAUAGAAGAGAACAUGCUAGUAUGAGUAAUAAGAGGGGCCUGCCCCUCUCCCAGCACCAGUGUACAUCAGAACGAACCCUCGCCGAAAAUUAACGCCCCCAACACAAGAGGGAAUUGAACAAACACCCACGACCCAGAAGCCCGCUCAACAACUACCAAGCGUUACCCCGACACAGGAGUGCCCCAGGAAAGACUAAAAGAAAAAGAAGGAACUCGGCAAACAUCAGCCUCGCCUGUUUACCAAAAACAUCGCCUCUUGACUAACAAAUUAUAAGAGGUCCCGCCUGCCCUGUGACUAUAAGUUUAACGGCCGCGGUAUUCUGACCGUGCGAAGGUAGCGCAAUCACUCGUCUUUUAAAUGAAGACCUGUAUGAAAGGCACAACGAGGGCUAAUCUGUCUCCUUUCUCCAGUCAAUGAAAUUGAUCCGCCCGUGCAGAAGCGGGCAUGAUAACAUAAGACGAGAAGACCCUAUGGAGCUUUAGACGCAGAACAGGCACACCAAGACAGUCCUGCAAAAUGACCUAAAACUAAAGUAUCAACCCCUGUUCCCCUGUCUUCGGUUGGGGCGACCGCGGGGAAACAAAAACCCCCCACGUGGAAUGAGAACAUCCACCCUAAAACUAGGGCUACACCCCUAAUAAACAGAAAAUCUGACCAAUAACUGACCCGGUUUUAUUUAACCGAUCAACGGACCCAGUUACCCUAGGGAUAACAGCGCAAUCCUCUUUUAGAGCCCAUAUCGACAAGAGGGUUUACGACCUCGAUGUUGGAUCAGGACAUCCUAAUGGUGCAGCCGCUAUUAAGGGUUC
rnacentral:rRNA from 1 species